rnacentral:lncRNA from 1 species
UCACCUCCAGAAAGCCUGGCUUGAUUUGUGUGGGGUCAAGUCCUGGCAUUUCUUGUUUGCUGAAAGGGCUGAAUAGUGACCUCCAAAACAUAUGUCCAGGUCCUAACCCUCAGAAGAGCCAGGAGUGAAAGCUCUGAGAAGGUGCUGUGACAUUGCCCCUUUUCACAUUGCAACAUUGGUUCCUUAUCUAUGGCAGACAGGAUGAAGCUGCUUUGGUAUAAGACGCUGUUCAGAAGGGACCAUAUAGUUCCAAAUGUUUGCUAAUGAUCUCUCUGAUAAGGGACUUGUACCUAGACUGUAAGAAGAACCCUUCUAACUCCAUUACAUCAAGACAAAUACCCCAGUUUAAAAAUAGGCAAAGGAUCUGAAUGGCCAAUCCUCCGAGGAAGGGACACAAAUGGCCGACGAGCAUAUGAAAAGAUGUUCAACAUGGCCAGUCAUCCGGGAAAUGCAAAUCAAAACCACAGUGAAACCCCACGUCGCACCCACUAGGUUGGUCCAAUCAAAACACAGGUAAUAUACAAAUGUUGACGAGAAUGCAGAGAAAUUGGAACUCUCUUGGUGGGAAUGUAAAAUGGUGCAGCUGCUUUGGAGAACAGUCUUCCUCACAUGAUUAAACCAUAGGACCAUUAUGCUUUGCCAUGUGCAUUACCACACGAGCCAGCAAGUCUACUCUUUGGUGUUUACCCAAGAGAGUUUAAGCAUAUGUCCACGUAAGAACAUGCACGUAAAUAUUUAUAGCAGCAUUGCUCAUGAGAGCCAAAAGGUGGAAACAACCCAAAUGUCCAUCGACAGACGAGCAGAGAAACAAAGUGUGGUCCAUUUCCAUCCACACAAUGGAAUACUUUUCAGCCAUAAAAAGGAACAAAGUUCUGAUACAUGCUACAGCUUCGAUCAAUAUUACGCCAGUCACAAAAGUCCGCAUAUUGUAUGAUUCCAUUCUGUGAAUGUCCAGAUUAGGGAAAUUCAUAGAGACAGAAAGUAGAUCAGUGGUUGCCAAGGACUGGAGGCUCUGGAGGGAGAGUGGGUGAUAACCAAAGGAUACAGGCCUUCUUUUUGAGAUGGUGGAAAGGCCCUAAAAAUGACAGUGGUGAUAGUUGCAUAUGUCUGUGAGGAUACUCAAAACCACCGAAGCAUACACUUUAAAUGAGAGAACUGUAUGUUGUGUGAAUUUGGUCACAAUAAACCUGUUUUAAGAAAGAGUGGCUGAGCUCUGUGACACAGAGCCCAAGUCACCGUCUAGCUUCUGACAGGUAACGAGCUGUGUCAUCACAUACAUUGAAACACAUGGGAAAUGCGCAUUUAACUGAGCUUUGCUUUUCUAGCCUAGCGUCCCGUCCCGGGAGGUCCAGCACUUCCUCUAGAACUGCACCAGGGCUAGUGUUGGCAGAUGCGGUCUGUUCAUGUCUCCAUAACCGAGGGACACGUUCAAGGGACAGACCAUGAUACACCCCCCGCCCCCCGCUCCAUCGAGCUGCACUCCACAGUGUUCCCAUGACCUUGGGAGCAGGGACUGAAAGAGUGGGAAUAUCUGGCAUAGAGAAUGGGCCUAGUUGGAGAGAAUGCGGGGUCAAGGAGGCUGUACUUAGUUGGAACUGCUGCAGCGGAGGUGCUCUGAGUUGAGGCAUGAGCAUCGGGGCUGCCAUAUGGAACAGGCAGCCCACAGGUGGAAAUAUUUCACAGGUAAAGUGGUACAGCUCGGGGGCUGACUGGAUGGGCAGGUGGGAAUACGGGGGUGGUCUUUGCAGAAGCAAAGAGAGGAUGGUUUGCGGCUCCCUGGAUACCAUGGCUCCCUAGGGGCAUCUGAAGGUAGUUGAAAAACCAAAGCCUGUGUGAGGCCAUGGGUCAGGUUGGGACCAGGGUGAGGAGGAACCUGAUGGGUGGUUCCAGUGAUCUCCUAGGUUCUGAACCACCUGUGGGAAGCUGCUGACCUCGUUCUGUGACCUCCUUAUGGGUGGUUUUUGGAAUGAUGGAGGGAAUGUAGGUGUGCCAGGGAGAUGCCUUUUUCAGCCACAGCAUUUUGGAGAGAAAGUCUCAUGGGGGCUGUGACUACCUGCCAUAGGUUCUAGGGCUUAUGUGGUGCCUUAUCCAUCAUGACGCCAGGAAAACUGGGAGGCCAUGUUCUGGGCGGUGGCAGGGGUGUAUGGCUUGUGAUGGCUUGGAGACUGGGUCUCCAGGGUUCAGACCUGAGCUGCUCCCCUGAGUUGUGCAACCUUGGGCAAAUCUCAUCCUCCUCAUUCAGUUUUCACUUUCAUUGUAGGAGUGUGGUGGUUCUCUCUUUCUAGAAAUGGGUGACAUGAUUACUGCCAUCUUCCAGGUGAAAAAACUCAGAGCCUAGGAAUUAAGUGUCUCAAUCAAAGUCACGAGGCUCACAAUGGACUCAGGACCAUUUGAGUGCUGGCAGUCAGACUCCACAGCCUGUUUCCUUAAUCGCUACACUAGUCUGUCUCUUGAUGAGGGGUAGCUACAAAAAACCCUGGGUGUCUAACUUUUGACAAAAUCCACAAUUAACUGGGUGGAUGGGUCCUGUAAGAUGACCUAGCCCUCAAUUAUUUUUGUUUUUUUUUAAAAAUAAUUUUACACAUAUAGAUUCUGAAACUCAGAGAAGUUAAGUGACUUUCCUGGAGUCACACAGAAAGUCAGCCAGACUCCUUCCUGGAACUCUACCUGACCCUCUUUGCAGCUCUCCUUCCAUCCCCCUGCUCUGACCUGCAGCGGAUUGUUUACUGAGUCCUGGUGACCCUCUCCUUCUCAAAUUCACCCUCAGAGCCCUUGGGCCACGGGGCCAGGGUCUCCUCUGGUGCUGCCCUGACGGAUGUGAAACCCAGUUUUCCAUAGCUGCAUAUUGAUGUCUUAGACAACAGCCUAGCGUUUCAGAGGAGCCUGCAUGUUACAAAAAGGGGCAGCAGGUGUUAUUUGGGCUAAAUUGACCUUGAAAUUGAUUUCUUUAUUUUAUGACUUACUGAGAGGAGAUUAAUACUUUUUUUUCCUGCAGUCUGAAACAAUUUACAUGGUAAUAGAAGGCAUAGUCAGUCAAAUAAAUUGCUGGAAGUGGUCGUGUUCCAAGGGAAAAGAAUACGGAGCUUACUCACAUUGAUUUCUUUGCCCCGGGGAGAAGCAGAGAUUUUAACAUCUGGGAAUAGGGAGCUAAAUUUUAUCUCUCAUUUUAAAAGCAAAGGACUGAGGCGCUUAAUCUGACAUUUACACGGAAUUUUCUAAGUUGGUGGAAGUGAGGGAGCCUGAGUUCCUUGCUGAAGGUUAACCGGCGUUUACUCAGAACGGCUCUGGCGGUUUGAGUCAGGGAGAGCAGGUGGGGCCCAGAUAACAUUUUCAUAAGAUGGGCCCUGGGAAGCUGGCUGCCUCGCUCCCACCUGCCGAGGAGACCAGGAGCUGAGAGGCUGCUGACAUAACCUUGCACCCAGAUCCAGGUGGGGUUGCCGAGGAGCCACGUGGCGGGGGACCCUGCUUCCCCGUUUCUGGCCUCACCCUGUGGCUCUCCUACCAGAGAUGGGGUUUGAUGUCAGCUGUCGCGGCAGCAUGCCUAGAUAGGGCAGCCUCUCCGAGUGUGUUCGGGAUGGAUUCUGAGACUGCAUCUGGGCAGGAAAAUGCAGAACUUGAUUAGUACUGCCUGCCCUGGGAACCUGAGGGGCGAUUGCGGCUUGCAUGCCACAUACUUGCAUUUCCUGGUUAAAAACAACCUUUAAAAGAAUCCCCCCAAAGCCAACAUUCCUGUAUUCAGAGUACAUUGGCAGGGCUCUUGUCCUCCCAAGCAACCCCAAAUCAUUUGACACGUUAGGCAAACUAAAUUAUUUUUCAGAAAAUGUCUAGAAAUGACUUUGGACCCAGAGGGCUUUGCUAGUAUUUAUGUGUACUAUUCCCUCAAAUUAUUUUCCUUUCAAAAUAAAAUGUUAAGAUUGUAAUUGAUAAUUCGUGCCAGACCAGAGCACACAUUUCAAGAAUGGGAGAAAUAAAAUUUUCUCUUUCCUAUUCCAUCCUGCUCAGCCAACUAGUUUCUCUCUCUAUAAUCAGCAUUGUGUUUCUCGUCUAUUCCUCUGGAGGUUGCAGUGCGUGUGAUAUAUAUGCAUGUAUUCUUAAAACAGUGACCAGACUGUGGCACGCUCUGCAUACCACACUGUGUUUUACCAUUUCCCCACCAUUCUGUAGUGAUCCACAUCAUUAUAUUUUCUAGGGGUGUCUGGAUGCAUCAUACCUUAUUUACUUGGUCUCUGAAUAAUGGAAAUUUACGUUGCUGUUGUUGUUUUGUAAUGAAAAAAAUUGCUUCAACAAAUAUCCUUGAUAUUGGCCAUUUCUCCCAUGGGCAGACACUCUAUAGCAGAGAUUCCUAGAAGUAGAAUUGCCAGUUUUGGAGUUCCCAUUGCGGUGGCUCAGCGGUAAUGAACUUGACUAGUAUCCAUAAGGAAAUGGGUUCAGUCCCUGUCCCUCUCAGUGGGUUAAGGAUCUGGCAUUGCCUUGAGCUCUGGUGUAGGUCACAGACACAGCUUGGAUCUGGUGUUGCUGUGGCUGUGGUGGAGUCCAGCAGCUAUAGCUCCAAUUCAACCCUUAGCCUGGGAACUUUCAUAUACCACAGGUGUGGCCCUAAAAAAAAAAAAAAAAAUCCAGUUUCAAUACUAUCAACUUUGGCGUUCUCUUGUGGUGCAGCAGGCAUUGUCACUGCAGCAGCUCGGGUCACUGCUAUGAUGUGGGUCCCAUCCCUGGCCCAGGAACUUUCACAAGCCAUGGACACAACCAAAAAAAAAAAAAAAAA